rnacentral:rRNA from 1 species
GAUGAACGCUGGCGGCGUGCCUAAUACAUGCAAGUCGAGCGAACAGACGAUGAGCUUGCUCCUCUGACGUUAGCUGCGGACGGGUGAGUAACACGUGGAUAACCUACCUAUAAGACUGGGAUAACUUCGGGAAACCGGAGCUAAUACCGGAUAAUAUAUUGAACCGCAUGGUUCAAUAGUGAAAGACGGUUUUGCUGUCACUUAUAGAUGGAUCCGCGCCGCAUUAGCUAGUUGGUAAGGUAACGGCUUACCAAGGCAACGAUGCGUAGCCGACCUGAGAGGGUGAUCGGCCACACUGGAACUGAGACACGGUCCAGACUCCUACGGGAGGCAGCAGUAGGGAAUCUUCCGCAAUGGGCGAAAGCUUGACGGAGCAACGCCGCGUGAGUGAUGAAGGUCUUCGGAUCGUAAAACUCUGUUAUUAGGGAAGAACAAAUGUGUAAGUAACUAUGCACAUCUUGACGGUACCUAAUCAGAAAGCCACGGCUAACUACGUG